CUGUGAGUAGAAUGGUUGUUCUUGGCUCACAAUUGAAGAUUCAGAUCCCUACAUUUCCUCCUCCUUUUAGUUCCCCUACUGAUUCACCACCUUCUCCAGGUGAUUUUGGUAUCAAGACCAGAAAUUCCCAGUUAGGUUCUUUUUCCUCUCCUGGAUUUUCACCAUCUCCUGUGAAGAAAUCUCCAUUUGGUUCCUCAAAUCCCAACAUAAUAGACACCCCAAAUUCACCUGGGGCUUUUAGUAGUCUUUCUGCUGCUGAGAUGGAGCUUUCUGAGGAGUAUACUUGUGUCAUUUCACAUGGUCCAAAUCCAA
rnacentral:lncRNA from 1 species